GACGAACCGUGCGAACGUUGUUCGGAAUCACUGGGCUUAAAGGGCGCGUAGGCGGGUGGGCAAGUCUGUGGUGAAAGCCUCCAGCUUAACUGGAGAAGUGCCAUGGAUACUGCACAUCUUGAGGAGGGUAGGGGCAUCUGGAACGGUCGGUGGAGCGGUGAAAUGCGUUGAUAUCGACCGGAACUCCGGUGGCGAAGGCGAGGUGCUGGACCCUUUCUGACGCUGAGGCGCGAAAGCCAGGGGAGCAAACGGG
rnacentral:rRNA from 1 species